rnacentral:rRNA from 1 species
CAAAUAGUAUGUUGACGUAUUCUGAAGGGAUACUUCUUCGGACAAUAUACAAGGUGCUGCAUGGUUGUCGUCAGCUCGUGCCGUGAGGUGUCGGGUUAAGUCCCAUAACGAGCGCAACCCCUAUCAUUAGUUGCCAUCAGGUCAAGCUGGGGACUCUAAUGAAACUGCCUACGCAAGUAGUGAGGAAGUGGGGAUGACGUCAAAUCAGCACGGCCCUUACGUCCAGGGCUACACACGUGCUACAAUGGCCGGUACAAAGGGCAGCUACCUGGUGACAGGAUGCUAAUCUCAAAAGCCGGUCUCAGUUCGGAUCGGAGUCUGCAACCCGACUCCGCGAAGCUGGAAUCGCUAGUAAUCGCGCAUCAGCCAUGGCGCGGUGAAUACGUUCCCGGGCCUU